rnacentral:rRNA from 1 species
UACGUAGGGUGCGAGCGUUGUCCGGAAUUAUUGGGCGUAAAGGGCUCGUAGGCGGUCUGUCGCGUCGGGAGUGAAAACUCAGGGCUUAACCCUGAGCCUGCUUCCGAUACGGGCAGACUAGAGGUAUGCAGGGGGAGAACGGAAUUCCUGGUGUAGCGGUGAAAUGCGCAGAUAUCAGGAGGAACACCGGUGGCGAAGGCGGUUCUCUGGGCCGUAACUGGCGCUGAGGAGCGAAAGCAUGGGGAGCGAACAGG